rnacentral:misc_RNA from 1 species
UUAACUAUUAUAUAGUACUCAGACGACACUAAAUUCAGAAUUUUGGGUUCUCUGGCGGGCACUCACCAGCCGAAGCCGGUAGCCGAGGCGGCCCGCCAAAGCAACAAAGGUAUAAUAUUCAAGGGUGGGAGAUCUACCCGUGAGGGCAUGAACUCUGUAAUGAUCCUUCCGCAGGUUCACCUACGGAAA